rnacentral:rRNA from 1 species
AGUGAACGCUGGCGGUAGGCCUAACACAUGCAAGUCGAACGGCAGCACAGUAAGAGCUUGCUCUUACGGGUGGCGAGUGGCGGACGGGUGAGGAAUACAUCGGAAUCUACUUUUUCGUGGGGGAUAACGUAGGGAAACUUACGCUAAUACCGCAUACGACCUACGGGUGAAAGCAGGGGAUCUUCGGACCUUGCGCGAUUGAAUGAGCCGAUGUCGGAUUAGCUGGUUGGCGGGGUAAAGGCCCACCAAGGCGACGAUCCGUAGCUGGUCUGAGAGGAUGAUCAGCCACACUGGAACUGAGACACGGUCCAGACUCCUACGGGAGGCAGAAGUGGGGAAUAUUGGACAAUGGGCGCAAGCCUGAUCCAGCCAUACCGCGUGGGUGAAGAAGGCCUUCGGGUUGUAAAGCCCUUUUGUUGGGAAAGAAAAGCAGCAGGUUAAUACCCCGCUGUUCUGACGGUACCCAAAGAAUAAGCACCGGCUAACUUCGU